rnacentral:rRNA from 1 species
AUUGAACGCUGGCGGCAUGCCUUACACAUGCAAGUCGAACGGCAGCACGGGAGCAAUCCUGGUGGCGAGUGGCGAACGGGUGAGUAAUAUAUCGGAACGUGCCCAGUCGUGGGGGAUAACGCAGCGAAAGCUGUGCUAAUACCGCAUACGAUCUAUGGAUGAAAGCGGGGGAUCGCAAGACCUCGCGCGAUUGGAGCGGCCGAUAUCAGAUUAGGUUGUUGGUGGGGUAAAAGCCCACCAAGCCGACGAUCUGUAGCUGGUCUGAGAGGACGACCAGCCACACUGGAACUGAGACACGUUCCAGACUCCUACGGGAGGCAGCAGUGGGGAAUUUUGGACAAUGGGCGCAAGCCUGAUCCAGCAAUGCCGCGUGCAGGAUGAAGGCCUUCGGGUUGUAAACUGCUUUUGUACGGAACGAAACGGCCUACUCUAAUACAGUGGGCUAAUGACGGUACCGUAAGAAUAAGCACCGGCUAACUACGUGCCAGCAGCCGCGGUAAUACGUAGGGUGCGAGCGUUAAUCGGAAUUACUGGGCGUAAAGCGUGCGCAGGCGGUUAUAUAAGACAGAUGUGAAAUCCCCGGGCUCAACCUGGGACCUGCAUUUGUGACUGUAUAGCUAGAGUGCGGCAGAGGGGGAUGGAAUUCCGCGUGUAGCAGUGAAAUGCGUAGAUAUGCGGAGGAACACCGAUGGCGAAGGCAAUCCCCUGGGCCUGCAC